UUAAAAAAACUUUAUUGCCAUUUAUUGAAUGAAAGACAUGGUGAUAGUUACUAAUAUCCCAAAAAUGUCUGAAUUCUUUGGGUUAUACUCUAAAUUAGAAAUUGCGGAGAAUUUCACAUUGUUGGCCAAUUCAUUUUGGCCAACAAAUUCAGCACUGAGUUUCCCAUUAUCGUGUUAAUUCUUCACAAUUUCCACGUUAGUCAAUAACCCAAUUUAUAUUUCAACGUUUGUAUUUUUCCAAAGCUUGAUACUGAAUGAAAAGCAUUCUAUAUGUUAUAUAUCGUAUUAUUUGUGUGAAGAUUUAACUAUGUAACUCAUUUAUCAUCUCUGUCAGAUUUUAUCAGCAGUUGCUUUUUUUGCAUUUUCCACCAUUAACCAUUUAAUAUAUGACAUAUUUGGCCAGACUUUUCCAACACUGUGUAUUUGGCAGUCUAUUAAAACGGAAAUUUCUGUGAAAACUGGCAAAAUUUACAAGGAAACCACCAUUUUAUAGAUCAUAAAUAUGAUAAUUAUAAUGGCAGAAUUUAAUGAAGACUACACUAUUAUAGGCUAAAUGAAAUCCUUUCAAUAUAUUUCUUGAGUGACAGCAUUCAAAUUGGGGUACUUGUCCUGCAAUUUAUAAAUGAAUAAAUCAAUUUGGCUAGAAGUAUUAAUUUCUCUAGAACAAGGCUCAAAAUAAAUGUGACAUUUAUAAGCUCCUGAUAUAAAAGAAGUAAAAAAGGUGUUUGUAAACCCCCCGAAGUACAUACGUUUUGGUAAGAUAAGUGCCAUUUGGAUAUUCAGGUCUUAUAUUAGCUAUUUCAGGAAAAAAAAUAAGAUCAUUCAUUUUCAGUAAUACUGCAAAUUGCAUUGCUGUAAUAUUAAGCACUUGUAGAAAUCCAAAAAUGCUAUUUUUCCUUUCACCCAAACUCUCUCUGAUACUAAAAUUGAUACAAAUAAGCUAAAAAUGUUAAAUUGGCAGGGUCCUCAGGACUCUACAUAAUUAGAAGUUACUUACAUCUACUUUCCUCAAGAAACAAAGUUAUUAGCAGAGUUCUUUAGAACAAUGUUGUAAACAGAAAUUAUCUGACUGUCCCUUGCCCAAAAAUGGAUCCCUAAAACAUAGGUUCUUUUGAAGGGCUCAGCUUACUUCUUUUCACUCAUAAGCAGUGCGGAAUAAGAGUAAUUAUAUACAGAUGGGAUCCCUAUACUCUUUCUCCAUCCACUCAGGGAUAUAUAUAUAUAUAUCUUCUAUGAAUUAACAUAUCCUACUCCUUCCAAAUCAUUUUAAUUCUAAUAUUUUAUUACAAAGGGUGUUAAAUAAAACAUACAUAUUAGAAACAUUUAAAAAAUAAAUACUUACAAUAUACAGCCCUUGAUGUCCUUACCAAUUACCUGUGGAAGUGGGCAUAUAACAUGAAUUCUUAAUGGCUAAAUGGUCUAAAUUAAAAGCUGAGCUUAUAUGUCCCUAAAAUCCCAAGCUGUGUUUACUGGCAUUACAAUGAAAUGGCUUUAUAGAUAGCACAUCUCAAUGUAUCAAUGAGUACACCUUGUUCUUGUGAGGCUCGGUGACAGGGGCAAAGACAUCUCCAUUGAUUUUCUAUAACACCAGUCACAACGCCAGGAAAGAGUCAGGAGCAUUUUUAAUCAGAUUUUAGGUUUUAUUUUCUCCUUGUGAUUUUUUUUUCUUUGUGAUGGAGUGGGGGUGUGGAGGGGGGUCAUAUUUUCAGUUCAGCAUCCAGGAUUUAUUUUCUUUACUUAAUUUUUGGAGCCAAGAUCUACAGACGGAAGAACGAAUAUUAAUGUCUAUAGUGAUUAUAGGGCAUAUUGGAAAUUAAAACUUGAUAUUUUUUUGUUUUCUUUUCUUUUUAUUACGGUUAUAAAAAGGCCACACAUCUUCCUAUAAAUUGUUAAAGUUAAUGGUGGAAAGAAGUGUUUUGUGUUUCCAAUUAUAUUGGAUAUAUGGUGGACCGGUGGAGUUAUUGAAGUCUAAGGGAAUAGGAGUUUUGCCACGGAUUGUUCAGGCUAUCAUUUUUCAGUAAUUCUUUUAAUUGUUUAAUCCCUUUUGUAGUUGGUGUGACUGUCCUUUUUUAUAAUGAGAAUCCAUUGUCAGUUAAAAAGCUAAGUGACAAGAUAAUAAAGAGAGCGCAUAUACAAAAUAGAAACCAGUGUGGUUGUUAAUAUCGAUUGAAGAUGGUACCCAAGGUACCCUAUAAAUGACAGCUGCUAAACAAAAAGAAUAUUCCCAAUUCCUGUAUCAAAAUGAUAAAAGUGUUGUCAGCGCUUAGAAGAUAAUCCCCUUAAAUUAUAGCAUACUGGGGCAAUAAAUAUAUAUAGAAAUAAUAUAGCAAUAAAAAGCUAAACUCUAAAAAAAAGAGCUAUAAUAAAAAACUGAGAAAAUGCAAAUAAAAAUAUGUCUCUGAAAAGUCCAAAAUC
rnacentral:lncRNA from 1 species